rnacentral:rRNA from 1 species
CCUACGGGAGGCAGCAGUGGGGAAUCUUGCACAAUGGAGGAAACUCUGAUGCAGCGAUGCCGCGUGAGUGAAGAAGGCCCUUGGGUUGUAAAGCUCUUUCGUCGGGGAAGAAAAUGACUGUACCCGAAUAAGAGGGUCCGGCUAACUUCGUGCCAGCAGCCGCGGUAAUACGAAGGGACCUAGCGUAGUUCGGAAUUACUGGGCUUAAAGAGUUCGUAGGUGGUUGAAAAAGUUAGUGGUGAAAUCCCAGAGCUUAACUCUGGAACUGCCAUUAAAACUUUUCAGCUAGAGUAUGAUAGAGGAAAGCAGAAUUUCUAGUGUAGAGGUGAAAUUCGUAGAUAUUAGAAAGAAUACCAAUUGCGAAGGCAGCUUUCUGGAUCAUUACUGACACUGAGGAACGAAAGCAUGGGUAGCGAAGAGGAUUAGAUACCCUCGUAGUCCAUGCCGUAAACGAUGUGUGUUAGACGUUGGAAAUUUAUUUUCAGUGUCGCAGCGAAAGCGAUAAACACACCGCCUGGGGAGUACGACCGCAAGGUUAAAACUCAAAUGAAUUGACGG